GAUGAACGCUAGCGGCAGGCCUAACACAUGCAAGUCGAGGGGUAACAGGAGUGCUUGCACUCGCUGACGACCGGCGCACGGGUGCGUAACGCGUAUAGAACCUACCUUUUACUGAGGGAUAGCCUUUAGAAAUGAAGAUUAAUACCUCAUGGUAUUGUAAACUGGCAUCGGUUUAUAAUUAAAGAUUUAUUGGUAAAAGAUGGCUAUGCGUCUUAUUAGCUAGAUGGUAAGGUAACGGCUUACCAUGGCAACGAUAAGUAGGGGCCCUGAGAGGGGGAUCCCCCACACUGGUACUGAGACACGGACCAGACUCCUACGGGAGGCAGCAGUGAGGAAUAUUGGGCAAUGGA
rnacentral:rRNA from 1 species